AACCAUUUAUGCUACAGAAAGGCUCCGCAGUUUGUCACAGUGAGGUGUAGGGUAGUCCUUGGCCCAUUGGCGCCUUUGGAGUUCCACAUGACAGAAUCUUCCCAGCAUGCUCUUGUAGUCUUUAAAAACAUACUGCUCAAGAUUAUCUCUAGAAGAACUUCCUCGUGGAAACUGCUGGUCGAAUUCUUGUUUGCUGACAAAGUACUCCACCCCAUGCUUUUCAGUGACUUUUGAUAUAGAAAAGUAGCUUGUCCUUUUAAGGGAAUACUCAGGAUGCCUUGCUGGAAUGAAAGCAAACAAGAUGAAAAACAAAACCCCUGCAAGGUGCACCAACAUUGUUAAAUUUAUGCCUGACCCACCCUGAACCGGAUGUUCCCGUCUCUGUUGUUGCUGUUGCCUCACUGUUCCUCUUGCUCUGUAGGCAUUGUGAGACUGGAACAUAUUAUCAUGGGUCCCAUAAAAGAACGACCUGAAUAUCUCAUCUGGAUCUAAGUCUUCUUCAUAACCAUAGAAGCUACUUCUUGCUUGCCUUUGUCGCCUUGUAGUUCUCUGCCUCAUGACAUUGGAAUACUGAUAAUUAAACUCAUGGUCCUCAAUGGCACCUGUUUGAUCAUAAGUUCUCCUUGACUGAUCAUUGCUUAGGCACUUGAAAGCCUUGCUGACCAACUUAAAUGCAUCCUCUGCCCCAGGAGCCUUGUUCUUGUCAGGAUGAACUUUCAGUGACAACUUCCUGUAGGCUUUCCUUAUCUCUUCUACAGAGCAACUUCUCUCCACUCCAAGAAUUGCAUAAUAAUCCUUGUUCUUUGUGAUGUUCCGAACCACUCUAACAUUUUCCUCAGUGUAACCCUUAUCAACAUUAGAAGGACCAACAGAUUCUUUACGCAAAUUUUGGCUUUCACCAACUUCACCACUUCUAGCCCUGUAUUGGCGUACAGCACCAUCCAGGGUAUCAUACUUCUUGGGUGUGCCCAGCAUAUCAUCAAUCGGAAGGCUGGGGUCCAAUCUUUGGGCAAUUCGAAGGAAUUUUUCUGCUCGCUGUCUAUCUCCAGAUGCAAGUGCAGUUUCUGCAAGUUUGACAGACCUCAAGGCCUCAUCUUUGUUUCCAUCCAUGCCCUUAGUCAGCCUUUUUACAACUGGAUCAUAUAUAGGUAGGACACCCAAAUUGA
rnacentral:sRNA from 1 species